AGUUUGUCAGUUAUCGGUAUCGAUAGUUCUCAUGCAGCUAAAAAACAACACCCGAUAGUAGAACAAAUGUCAAUUAUAUUUUAUUACAUCUCUCUUCUAUAAUUACAGCACUUUAUAGUACUUACUUAUUUGCGGUAAAAAUAGGAAUUGUGUAUUAGGUAAUAAUAAAAGCUCUUUACUAAAAAAUCAUCCGAUUGAGUACAAAAGAUCACAAGCAACUGCUACGGCACUGUAUAUCAAAUAAAGGUGUAAUUAAAAUAGUCGCCGUGUAUCUAUGUAUGUAUGUAUGUAUAAGCAUCCACUUUGCAUACUAACUGGAUUUUUCCACCAAUAACCAACUGGAUUUUAGCCGAUUUGGCUGAUAUCCAAGUAAAAUUAUUAAGAUGCGAAUGCAUAGAGGUUGUACAAGUUUCCGGGCACAUAUGGCGGUACUAAGGAUUACUCACUAUUUUGAUGUUAUUACAACUGUAAGCUGAAUUUGCGAAUCAGGCGAUGCUACUGAUUAGCACG